AACGAACGCUGGCGGCAGGCCUAACACAUGCAAGUCGAACGCCCUAGCAAUAGGGAGUGGCAGACGGGUGAGUAACGCGUGGGAACCUACCUAUUGGUACGGAAUAACUCGGGGAAACCCGUGCUAAUACCGUAUAAGCCCGAGAGGGGAAAGAUUUAUCGCCAAUAGAUGGGCCCGCGUCGGAUUAGCUAGUUGGUGAGGUAAUGGCUCAC
rnacentral:rRNA from 1 species